rnacentral:rRNA from 1 species
UCCGUAGGCGGUGCGGCAAGUCGGAAGUGAAAUCUCUGGGCUUAACUCAGAGGCUGCUUCCGAAACUGCCGUGCUCGAGUGCGAGAGAGGCAAGUGGAAUUGCGGGUGUAGCGGUGAAAUGCGUAGAUAUCCGCAGGAACAUCCGAGGCGAAAGCGGCUUGCUGGAUCGCAACUGACGCUGAGGGACGAAAGCUAGGGGAGCAAACAGGAUUAGAUACCCUGGUAGUCCUAGCCCUAAACCAUCAGGACUUGGGGUUUGCCCUGUACGGGGCAAGUCCCGGAGCUAACGCGUUAAGUCCUGCGCCUGGGGAGUACGGUCGCAAGGCUAGAA